rnacentral:tRNA from 1 species
GGGCCGGUAGCUCAGGUGGGAGAGCCUUCGUGAAGCCCCAAUAGCGCCCGCCUCGCACGCGGGAGGUCGGGGGUUCGAGUCCCCCCCGGUCCA